GUUCUAUGGUCUCAGCCUGUCAAAGGUGGAUAGAAUUUACCUCUUCAUGCGUUGAGCUACUGGGAAAUCAAAACCAUCUUUAUCAGAAAAGAACAUUUUAUUAAAAAUAUAAAAUAUCCUGGGUUCUAUGGCUCGUUGCCCUUGUAGAGGAAACACAGGGAAAUCGGGCCAUGUGCUGCCAUCUAUCAAAAUACAUAGAUUCUCAGGCCUCACUCAGACACACUGAAAUAAGAUCUUUGGGGCAAGGGGAGUCCAGAAAUCUGUACUUCUAAAACAUAUUUUUCAUUACAGGUUUUAAUGACAUAAGACAUGGUGCUUGUUAUCAACAGGAGGAAACGGAAUCCCAUACAGAGUAAAUGACUUACUCAUGUUCUCGUAGUCAGGGGUCAGCCAGCAAAGGACCCUGGUUUGGCCCAUAAGUUCAUUUCCACACCAUCACACUCACUGCCAACUCGUCUUCCAGCACAGUUCCUGCCAAUAAAAUAAUCAGUUGGCAAGUGACAGGUUUCGGAACAGUCAAAAUAACUUUCUGGAAAGGUAACGUAUAUUUAACCAUUAACACAAAUAAGAGGAGGAAGGAUGAAUUUCUUUCUCUAAUCUGCCUUUGUUGAAAUUGCUCUCUUGGCCAAUUACAAACUAAUCAUGGCAUAAAAUUAGUAGGCCAAAAAUGACCCUCGUGACCUGUCUUUAACAAAAUAUACAGCUCUAGUCCCUCUUCCUGUUAUCACUGUAGAAAUAUGCAGGUGCCUACCCGGAAAGGAACAUUUGAAACAAACGCCUCUGACAAGUUUCAAUCACAGAGAAGAGCCAGCCGAAUGGCCUGCGUCGGCCAGGGCCAUGUGGCCAAAUACUCUUCAGACCCAAGUGCGAUCAUGAAACAAGAACGUCGAGAACAGCAGGCUCCAGCCAAUUCCCGCUGACAGCUACCAAAAUAACCCCGCACUGCCUGGGCCCCAGUGGCUGGGGAGGCUGCUGGCUGACUGUGGGGGCACCUGGGCGAGCGAAACUCCCCUCCAAGUCUCCGAACACCUUUUUUCAUCACUUGGAACAAUAAAUCAAUUCACAGCGUGGGAUCCA
rnacentral:lncRNA from 12 species